rnacentral:rRNA from 1 species
CUUUACUAUAGCUUUGCAUUGGACCUUGAUUAAGUCUGUGUAGGAUAGGUGGGAGAUGAUGAUCUGCACUCGCUAGAGUGUAGGGAGUCGACCUUGAAAUACCACCCUGACUUGAUUGAAGUUCUAACGUUGGACCGUAAUCCGGUUCGCAGACAGUGUAUGGUGGGUAGUUUGACUGGGGCGGUCUCCUCCUAAAGAGUAACGGAGGAGCGCGAAGGUACCCUCGGCAUGGUCGGAAAUCAUGCUAUGAGUGCAAAAGCAGAAGGGUGCUUGACUGUGAGACUGACGGGUCGAACAGGAACGAAAGUUGGCUUUAGUGAUCCGGUGGUUCUGUAUGGAAGGGCCAUCGCUCAACGGAUAAAAGGUA